GACGAACGCUGGCGGCGUGCUUGACACAUGCAAGUCGAACGAUGAAGCUAGAGCUUGCUCUGGUGAAUUAGUGGCGAACGGGUGAGUAACACGUGAGUAACCUGCCCCGAACUCUGGGAUAACUGCUGGAAACGGUAGCUAAUACUGGAUACGACCUACGAAGGCAUCUUCUGUAGGUGGAAAGAAUUUCGGUUCGGGAUGGACUCGCGGCCUAUCAGCUUGUUGGUGAGGUAAUGGCUAACCAAGGCGACGACGGGUAGCCGGCCUGAGAGGGUGACCGGCCACACUGGGACUGAGACACGGCCCAGACUCCUCCGGGAGGCAGCAGUGGGGAAUAUUGCACAAUGGGCGCAAGCCUGAUGCAGCAACGCCGCGUGAGGGAUGACGGCCUUCGGGUUGUAAACCUCUUUUAGUAGGGAAGAAGCGAAAGUGACGGUACCUGCAGAAAAAGCACCGGCUAACUACGUGCCAGCCGCCGCCGAA
rnacentral:rRNA from 1 species